CAUAGGACUGAAUUGUGGGAG
rnacentral:miRNA from 1 species